rnacentral:rRNA from 1 species
GCAGUCGCCGCGGUAAUACAGAGGUCUCAAGCGUUGUUCGGAUUCAUUGGGCGUAAAGGGUGCGUAGGUGGCGGUGUAAGUCUAACGUGAAAUCUCGGGGCUCAACCUCGAAAUUGCGUCGGAUACUGCAUUGCUAGAGGAUUGUAGAGGAGAGUGGAAUUCAUGGUGUAGCAGUGAAAUGCGUAGAUAUCAUGAGGAAGACCAGUUGCGAAGGCGACUCUCUGGGCAAUUCCUGACACUGAGGCACGAAGGCUAGGGGAGCAAACGGGAUUAGAUACCCCUGUAGUCCCUGUCUCUUAUAC